AAGUCGUAACAAGGUUUCCGUAGGUGAACCUGCGGAAGGAUCAUUAAAAGUGAUUGGUUAUACAUUUCAUGUAUCAACUGCAUUAACCCAUUCCGAGUACCUUGCCUGUUGCUUCCAUGGGGCCUGACCUAGGUCACUCUUGUGAAUGUCGAAACCAAGACCGAGUGCCCAUGGGAAGGUAAUUAUCAUUAAUUCAUGCUAAUCCAAUGUCUUCUGAUCUGACUUGUUAUAACAAAUGUUAAAA
rnacentral:misc_RNA from 1 species